CAGGUGGAAGCAAUCGCAAAGAACUCGUGGCUUCCACGCAGAGACACAACACACGUGAAGUCCCCCUGGGGUCACUGACAGCAACAUCAAAUAAUAUUUCAGGUGUUAAUGCUCAGCACAAUGACCACAGCUAUCAAUCCGGUUAUAGAGAGGGCAACUCUAGUGACGCAGGUGAGACAAACUGCGAACAACCUGCGAUAAUCACACCAAAAAAGCUCUAUCCUUACAUCACAAUGGAUAGACAACCAGCUACACAGACAGGUGAAUACUCUAAAUCGACUUAUCAAGAAGAACACCUUUAUGACGACUUGAAUCUCCGCCAUUAGCCGAUGAGUUACAGGAGCGGACAAAGCAGAAACAUCUUUACUCAAUUAUCUUUUUUUAAACUUGCGAAUCAUCGAAGAUUACCAGCACACAAAAAAAAAGAACAGCAACAUAUGCAUGGCUGUCACAAAAAAGCAUUUAUUUUCAGCGCCAGUGUUUUACUCAUAGGGUACCCUUACAAAGUGCUAGGUUGUCCACAUUUCUCCUGAGGUAUGGCACAAUUUGUUCUUCCUAGUAGCAUUUUUACUUUAUUUGUACCUGCCGAUAAAAUCUUACAACGUAAACAACUCUCAUACACGAAUAUGCUCUAGAGCCAAAUAUUCCAUCCAAAAAAUAGCCUGCAACCUUAAAAAUUGCUAUUCCAAUAAAAUUUGGUGAGAAUCAAAGAAAGUGUAGAUCUGAUUUGAUAUCAAACAACACCACCCUGUCACACACACACACACACACACUCCAAGUCUCCAAUGAAUAACAAAAAAAUCUACUAUAGAGCAAACUGCAAAGCGGCGCAAACAGCACUGUAAGGGGAGGGCAGCAAGAAAGUAAGGAUGUCACUAUUACGACUGUUAUCUCCCUUACCACACACAGACAGCAGUGUCUCACCUUUCCUUUAAUUUGAUUUGAACUCAGUCUGAUAGAUGUGACAUUAACUGUACGAUCCAGGUACCUCGACUAUUUCAAAAUGAAAAACAAGACAAGUUUUGGUGUAAUUAUUGAUUCUGAGGUAUAUAACUAGAAAAUGCUUUUGUACAUGAAAUGCUGUAUAAAUAUAGUUUCUGAGAUUUAAAAUUGUUGUUGUCGUUUUUAUCGUCUCAUCUUUGGUAACGCUCUCGUUAAAUGUCUGA